ensembl:lncRNA
CAUACAAUUAUAUUCAGCGUCGUUUAGUUCUUAUUAAGAAUAUAGUGUAAUGUAUUAUAAUUUCAUUUAGGGAACAAGAGUAAUUUGCCUGCUCUUGAGCUGUCCAAUGAGUACGACUGUGCUUUCAACAAGUUUGCAACCACCCAAGCAAAUCACCAUGGGCCACUUUCAAGUACAGAGACAGAGAGAAUGGAGAGUGGGAGGAAAGAGAGAUCCAUUGAAGAUCGAAAGACAACAAUGCAACGUUGACGGUCUCUGGGUGAUAAGAGCUGAGCAAAAGGCCUAUCUGAAUGGUCGAUGACGGCAAAGAUUUCUCAGAUAAACUGGCCAUUGAUCGGAUGAGACCUCCGGUAACUAGCUGUUGAAUGGCUGGUCGAGUCCUCACUUAAACCCUAUGGUGUGAUCUGAUGAGGGCAUGAAUACAGCUUUGAUUGCAGUGUAGUGUGUGCAAUAGGUCUCUGUCAAAAAUCAGUAAUCAUAGUCUUCCAGCUAGACCAUAAUUAGUUUAUGCAGGUGUGUUAGUGGUGUG